GAUGAAGAACGCAGCGAAAUGCGAUACUUGGUGUGAAUUGCAGAAUCCCGUGAACCAUCGAGUCUUUGAACGCAAGUUGCGCCCGAAGCCAUUAGGCCGAGGGCACGCCUGCCUGGGCGUCACACGUCGUUGCCCCCCCAUCUACUCCUUCGGGAUUGCGGGGGGCGGAUGAUGGCCUCCCGUGCGCCUCGCCGCGCGGUUGGCAUAAAUGCCAAGUCCUCGGCGACGCACGCCACGACAAUCGGUGGUUGCGACACCUCGGUUGCCCGUCGUGUGCGGUCGUCGCGCAUCGAGGGCUCGAAAAAAUUGCCGGGUUCCGGCUCGGCUUUCAACGCGACCCCAGGUCAGGCGGGGUUACCCGCUGAAUUUAAGCAUAUCAAUAAGCGGAGGA
rnacentral:misc_RNA from 1 species